UCCAUUGUUCAGCAAGAUUCG
rnacentral:miRNA from 1 species